rnacentral:rRNA from 1 species
UAAACAUAGACAGUUCACAUACCCCACUGUCCGCCCGGGUACUACGAGCAUAAGCUUAAAACCCAAAGGACUUGGCGGUGCUUUAAACCCACCUAGAGGAGCCUGUUCUAGAACCGAUAAUCCCCGUUCAACCUCACCCUUCCUUGCUCUUUCCGCCUAUAUACCACCGUCGUCAGUUUACCCUGNGAAGGUCAAACAGUAAGCACAAUCGGCAUAGCCCAAAACGUCAGGUCGAGGUGUAGCGUAUGGAGGGGGAAGAAAUGGGCUACAUUCCCUAAUACUAGGUCAUACGGAUUUUAUGAUGAAACGCAUAUCUGAAGGAGGAUUUAGCAGUAAGCGGGAA